rnacentral:lncRNA from 1 species
UUGGUAUGGAUAUUAUUGACAACUCUUCUUACCCUUAUAUUGAAAAUGUUUGGUUAGUUGAUGGACUAAAAUAUAACCUUCUGAGCAAGUUAAUUAUAUGACAGUGAUAUGAAGUAGUGGUUGAUAAGAACAACUGCACGGUCAUCAAGGUCUUUUGUUUUAUGUCUUUUUUGUGUUUCGUUGAACAUUUUAUGUUGUGUACUUUGUUUUAUGACUUGUUCUGAUGUGUACCUUUUGACUUAAUUUGGUUUUAUAUGAAUAUUUUUAUGGUAUUCUAUUUUACUGGCUACUGCCACACCAGAUUUGUUC